rnacentral:rRNA from 1 species
UACCAGCACCCCGAGUGGUCGGGACGAUUAUUGGGCCUAAAGCAUCCGUAGCCGGUUCUACAAGUCUUCCGUUAAAUCCACCUGCUUAACAGAUGGGCUGCGGAGGAUACUAUGGAGCUAGGAGGCGGGGAGGCAAGCGGUACUUAGUGGGUAGGGGUAAAAUCCGUUGAUCCAUUGAAGACCACCAGUGGCGAAGGCGGCUUGCCAGAACGCACUCGACGGUGGAGG